CCUACGGGUGGCAGCAGUGGGGGAUAUUGCACAAUGGGGGGAACCCUGAUGCAGCGACGCCGCGUGGGUGAAGAAGCGCCUCGGCGCGUAAAGCCCUGUCAGCAGGGAAGAAAAUGACGGUACCUGAAGAAGAAGCCCCGGCUAACUACGUGCCAGCAGCCGCGGUAAUACGUAGGGGGCAAGCGUUAUCCGGAUUUACUGGGUGUAAAGGGGGCGCAGACGGCGAUGCAAGCCAGGAGUGAAAGCCCGGGGGCCAACCCCGGGACUGCUCUUGGAACUGCGUGGCUGGAGUGCAGGAGGGGCAGGCGGAAUUCGUGGUGUAGCGGUGAAAUGCGUAGAUAUCAGGCGGAACACCGGUGGCGAAGGCGGCCUGCUGGACUGCAACUGACGUUGAGGCCCGAAAGCGUGGGGAGCAAACAGGAUUAGAUACCCUAGUAGUC
rnacentral:rRNA from 1 species